GAUGAACGCUGGCGGCGUGCCUAAUACAUGCAAGUCGAGCGAACAGACGAGGAGCUUGCUCCUUUGACGUUAGCGGCGGACGGGUGAGUAACACGUAAGUAACCUACCUAUAAGACUGGGAUAACUUCGGGAAACCGGAGCUAAUACUGGAUAAUAUUUCGAACCGCAUGGUUCGAUAGUGAAAGAUGGCUUUGCUAUCACUUAUAGAUGGACCUGCGCCGUAUUAGCUAGUUGGUAAGGUAACGGCUUACCAAGGCAACGAUACGUAGCCGACCUGAGAGGGUGAUCGGCCACACUGGAACUGAGACACGGUCCAGACUCCUACGGGAGGCAGCAGUAGGGAAUCUUCCGCAAUGGGCGAAAGCCUGACGGAGCAACGCCGCGUGAGUGAUGAAGGUCUUCGGAUCGUAAAACUCUGUUAUUAGGGAAGAACAAACGUGUAAGUAACUGUGCACGUCUUGACGGUACCUAAUCAGAAAGCCACGGCUAACUACGUGCCAGCCGCCGCAGUAAGAC
rnacentral:rRNA from 1 species